GCCCGCGUAGCGCAAUGGUUAACGCGUCAGACUUCUACUGGAAGUUUCUUUAGCAAAUCUGAAGAUUGUGGGUUCGACUCCCACCGUGGGUG